UGUGUGUGUGUGUGUGUGUGUGUGUGUGUGUGUGUAUAUAUACACACACACAUAUACACACACACACACACACACA
rnacentral:miRNA from 1 species